rnacentral:rRNA from 1 species
UUCCAACUCGUUAUAUCAGCUAGGCAGGUUUAGAAGUAUUUUAGGCUCGGCUUAACAACAAUAAACUAAAAGUUUGACCUCAAAUCAGGUAGGACUACCCGCUGAACUUAAGCAUAUCAAUAAGCGGAGGAAAAGAAACCAACAGGGAUUGCCUCAGUAACGGCGAGUGAAGCGGCAAAAGCUCAAAUUUGAAAUCUAGCACCUUCGGUGUUCGAGUUGUAAUUUGAAGAUGGUAACCUUGGGUUUGGCUCUUGUCUAUGUUCCUUGGAACAGGACGUCAUAGAGGGUGAGAAUCCCGUCUGAUGAGAUGCCCAUUCCUAUGUAAGGUGCUAUCGAAGAGUCGAGUUGUUUGGGAAUGCAGCUCUAAGUGGGUGGUAAAUUCCAUCUAAAGCUAAAUAUUGGCGAGAGACCGAUAGCGAACAAGUACAGUGAUGGAAAGAUGAAAAGAACUUUGAAAAGAGAGUGAAAAAGUACGUGAAAUUGUUGAAAGGGAAGGGCAUUAGAUCAGACUUGGUGUUUUACGAUUAUCUUCUCUUCUUGAGUUGUGCACUCGUAUUUCACUGGGCCAGCAUCGAUUCGGAUGGCAAGAUAAUGGCAGUUGAAUGUGGCUUCACUUCGGUGGAGUGUUAUAGCUUCUGCUGAUAUUGCCUGUCUGGAUCG